rnacentral:antisense_RNA from 1 species
CUUGAUGGCGCCGAGCCAGAGAGGCCGGCCUUCCGGUCGGUCCUGGCCGAAAGUGGCGAGGAGGGCUUGUGCCUC